rnacentral:tRNA from 1 species
AGGAACUUAGGAUAUAUUAAACCAAGGGCCUUCAAAGCCCAUAAAAAGAGCCAUGACCUCUUAGCUCCUG